rnacentral:rRNA from 1 species
AGGGUUUGAUUCUGGCUCAGGAUGAACGCUAGCUACAGGCUUAACACAUGCAAGUCGAGGGGAAACGACAUCGAAAGCUUGCUUUUGAUGGGCGUCGACCGGCGCACGGGUGAGUAACGCGUAUCCAACCUGCCCACCACUUGGGGAUAACCUUGCGAAAGUAAGACUAAUACCCAAUGACGUCUCUAGAAGACAUCUGAAAGAGAUUAAAGAUUUAUCGGUGAUGGAUGGGGAUGCGUCUGAUUAGCUAGUUGGUGGGGUAACGGCCUACCAAGGCGACGAUCAAUAGCCGACCUGAGAGGGUGACCGGCCACAUUGGGACUGAGACACGGCCCAA